GACGAACGCUGGCGGCGUGCCUAACACAUGCCAGUCGAACGGAAAGACCCUGCGUUUGUGCCGCGCUCGAGUGCCGAACGGGUGAGUAUCACGCGAGUAAACCGCCCUUAUCUUUGUGAUAACUUCUCGAAAAAGGGGAUCAUAUCCGAUAGGAGCUCCUGCUGCAUGUUGGGGGUUGGAGAGAUUCGGCGUUUGGGGAUGGACUCGCGGGUUAUCCGCUUGUUGGGCGGGUAGUGGCUGACCAAGGCUUUGAAGGGUAGCCGGCCUGAGAGGGUGACCAGCGACAUUGGGACUGAGAUACGGCGCAGACUGCUACGUGAGGCAGCAGUGGGGAAUAUUGCACAAUGAGCGGAAGCCAGAGGCAGCAACGCCGCGUGCGGGAUGACGGCCUUCGGGUUAUAAACCGCUGUCUCCUGUGACGAAGCGUGAGUGACGGUAAUGGGUAAAGAAGCACCGGCUAACUACGUG
rnacentral:rRNA from 1 species